rnacentral:pre_miRNA from 1 species
UCGCUCUCAAAGUGGUUGUGAAAUGCGUCCUUCAAGGGUUUCCUCCAAUUCGCAUAUCACAGCCAGCUUUGAAGAGCGUCA